UCUUAGCAUCACCAGUUACCAAGUACACAUAGGACCAAGCUCCAGCUUGCAAUAAAUGACUCUUUGCUGUUUGCAUUGAUCAUGGUCUCUGGUGGUCUGAGAGGGGGCGUCUGAAAUCUGAGCACUUUAUGUGGGAGCUUGUCCGGGAUAGCCCCCCCAUAAGCCACACAGAUACCUGAUCAGCGAGUCGUCCAGCUAGCCGGUGGGAUUCAAAAGAUCCGUUGAUGAAUUGCCUUGCUAAACAAGCGAGCCCUGGGAAAAUGAAGCUUAACAAAGAUCACCAUGAUACACUUAAUAACCAGCAGUGACCCUAUCAUCCAUGGGAACAGAUAGUCAUCAUGGCCUCCUGGUCUGGACCACAGGAGAGGCGGGUGCAUGCAGCUGAAGGGAGCAGCACAUGCUGCUGAAGGAGAUAGGUUGUCAAGCCCCACAUUGUGAGCUGCCAUGAAGUGAUUGG